rnacentral:rRNA from 1 species
AUGAAGAUUAGCCUUAGAAAUGGAUUUUAUUAUGUGUAUGAAUUCGAGGUGUCACAGAGCCACACUCUUGCUCAUGGAAUCAUGGCCCAAUACUUAAGAUCUCAGAGAAACAUGAUAGAAGCACAUAUAGCAAAUGUAGAGGUCGCAAAGUCGGUUGGCUUUUCAAAUAAAGCAACAAUCGAUUUUAUGGCCAAAGAAGCAGGUGGAAGUGACAACCUUGGCUUUACACCUCAAGAUAUGAAAAAUCGUUUCUACUCAAAGAGAACAAUAAAAGCAAAUGUAGGUGACAUAGGGGGAGUAUUAGAAUACAAGGAGAAAAAGGUCUCGGAAGAUGACAACUUUUAUUAUUCAAUUCAAGUGGAUGAGGAUCAGUUGACAACUAAUAUUUUUUUGCGCUGA